GUAAAGUAUACCAGCUGACAACAGGUGGCGAAGCACAUUCAUGUGAAUAUGAAUAAUCUUUAAUGUGCCAUUGAAAUUUGGUAACUCAAACUUUGAAAUUUUGCGAGCCGAGAGAUCGUCUGUGAAUUAUCGCACUUGAACAGCAGCAGAAAGCCGCAUGCGGAUGCGCAUGGAAAUCAACAAAUAAGAGCAACAAAUGCACAACAACAACAAUAACUGCUAAGCCAGCGCCCACCACUCCACUUCUCCUCUGUCGAUAGCACUCGUCUGCAUCGUUUAUGCGACGCACUUUAAUCAAGCAGAGCGUUGAGAGGCCAGCACACAUUUGCCAGCAAGAACUGUGUAAUUCAUGCAAUGCUCGACUCAAAAACACCCUGUGCAAUUCAAAUUAAUUAAUUAAUUUUUAAGCUUGUAUGCGUCUCAAUAGAUCAAAAGUAAAAAUAGUUAUUUCAAUAAUGACUUAUAUCAUUUAA
rnacentral:sRNA from 1 species